rnacentral:rRNA from 1 species
CUCCAGACUCCUACGGGAGGCAGCAGUGAGGAAUAUUGGUCAAUGGCUGCAGGGCUGAACCAGCCAAGUCGCGUGAGGGAUGACGGCCCUACGGGUUGUAAACCUCUUUUGCCGGGGAGCAAAGAGCGGGACGCGUCCCGCCUCGAGAGUACCCGGAGAAAAAGCAUCGGCUAACUCCGUGCCAGCAGCCGCGGUAAUACGGAGGAUGCGAGCGUUAUCCGGAUUUAUUGGGUUUAAAGGGAGCGUAGAUGGGUUGUGAAGUCAGUUGUGAAAGUUUGCGGCGCAACCGUAAAAUUGCAAUUGAUACUGGCAGUCUUGAGUACAGUUGAGGUAUGCGGAAUGCGUGGUGUAGCGGUGAAAUGCAUAGAUAUCACGCAGAACUCC